UUUGGUGGUCAUAGCGAGUUGGCUCCACCCCUUCCCAUCUCGAACAGGACCGUGAAACGACUCAGCGCCGAUGAUAGUAUGGAUUACCCAUGUGAAAGUAGGUCACUGCCAAAC
rnacentral:rRNA from 1 species